rnacentral:rRNA from 1 species
CCUACGGGUGGCAGCAGUGAGGAAUAUUGGUCAAUGGCCGAGAGGCUGAACCAGCCAAGUCGCGUGAGGGAAGACGGCCCUACGGGUUGUAACUCUCUUUUGUCGGGGAGAAAAGCGAGUCAUGUGUGAGUCAUUGAGCGUACCCGACGAAAAACCAUCGGCUAACUCCGUGCCAGCAGCCGCGGUAAUACGGAGGAUGCGAGCGGUAUCCGGAUUUAUUGGGUUAAAGGGGUGCGCAGGCGGAGGUGCAAGUCAGCGGUCAAAUUGCGGGGCUCAACCUCGGACUGCCGUUGAAACUGCAUGCCUUGAGUGCGCGAGAGGUAAGCGGAAUGCGUGGUGUAGCGGUGAAAUGCGUAGAUAUUACGCAGAACUCCGAUUGCGAAGGCAGCAUACCGGAGCGCAACUGACGCUGAUGCACGAAAGCGUGGGUAGCGAACAGGAUUAGAUACCCGAGUAGUC